rnacentral:rRNA from 1 species
CCUACGGGGGGCUGCAGUGGGGAAUAUUGCACAAUGGGCGCAAGCCUGAUGCAGCCAUGCCGCGUGUGUGAAGAAGGCCUUCGGGUUGUAAAGCACUUUCAGCGGGGAGGAAGGCGGUGAGGUUAAUAACCUCAUCGAUUGACGUUACCCGCAGAAGAAGCACCGGCUAACUCCGUGCCAGCAGCCGCGGUAAUACGGAGGGUGCAAGCGUUAAUCGGAAUUACUGGGCGUAAAGCGCACGCAGGCGGUCUGUCAAGUCGGAUGUGAAAUCCCCGGGCUCAACCUGGGAACUGCAUUCGAAACGGGCAGGCUAGAGUCGUGUAGAGGGGGGUAGAAUUCCAGGUGUAGCGGUGAAAUGCGUAGAGAUCUGGAGGAAUACCGGUGGCGAAGGCGGCCCCCUGGACAAAGACUGACGCUCAGGUGCGAAAGCGUGGGGAGCAAACAGGAUUAGAUACCCGAGUAGUC